CAUGACCCAUUAACCCCAUAAUCCCAUAACCCUAUAUCCCCAUAGCUCCAUAAGCCUAUCACGGAAGAACAACAGAGUGAGAAAUUGACCCGCAAUCGUCAUCGUCAUAAACCAUAGCUUCAAUCAUUGACGAUGAUAUAUGCAACAUGUAUAUAGAAUGGUGCUUCUGUUACA